GGAUGGAAAGAUGCCUCCAGUCGGUCCAAUCUGAGUGACACCCACGUCUUUGGUAAGCAGCUGGGAAAGAAAAGCUCUGUCUCCUUCCAGAUGGUGUGCUGCAUUCCCAUGGUUUUGGAUCCUGCAACCACUCUUGUUCCACGCAAAGGCCAGCCUGUGGGUUAGAGAGAUGCACAGAGAGGGACAAAGCCCGGAACAAUCACAGAGAAUCAAAGCACUCUGGUUAUACCUUGCCUUCCCUAAGCUGCUGAUGAAUUAGCAGAUCAAAUUCCAGAAAUAAUUCAACCUUCCACUGUUUUUUUUCAUGCACGUGUCCCUUUGCCAGGCAGCCUUGCUGUAGUGCCUCUGUUUAAUAUUCCAUUUGUAAGAUGGGCAGCUCCAAGUCUAUGCUCACUCAGCUGCUCAUCAAGAAUAACAAGGUAAAUGACAAAGGAGGUAAGGAUGUCCUCGUCAAAUGUCCUAUGCUGUCACCUGCCAGAAAGCCCUCAGCAGUCAGUGUCCGAGAUGGCUCCCCACGCAGGAAUCUCUCUGAAGUGCUCUGUGAUCUCCACAACUAAAACAUAAUUUCUGGCUCCAGAGAGCUCUGGGGCUCUGUUCCCUUGUUCAGCCCGUGCUCCUGGUCAUCGUCAGCCCCAGGACUGAGGCUUGGACAGGCUCAGGGGCUGCUGUCUGUGAAAAUCAGAUUGAUGCAUCUGAUUACAUGGCCUGUUAACAUCUGCAAAAAAUAAGAUAAAAUAAGAAUUAUUUACCUGUCACAGCUUUGAGACACCAUCACAAACUGGAGCUGACACCUCUUCUGUUCACCUUGGAGAGGUGCAGAGUGAGGAGCAGACCGUGACACACUUAAUAGAUUGCUGGGCAUUUACGGAGCUGCUUGUUACCCAGCUCAAGAGCCGUGUCCAACUGCUACAGCGUUCAUCAAAGACAAGAAGCCACAAGGAGCAAGUCAGUACUGCAAUUCAUUAAGGCAACUUGACCUCUGGGGAGAGGAGAAGAAAAAGGAACUAGCAGCAUUGAUCGCCUAUGUUUCCUGAAGUGUGGUGUCAUGGCAUAAAAUGACAUUGAAUCACAGGAUCGACAGAGAAGAAAUGAGUCAACGAUGGUGCAGGUGAUCUGUGCAGUGCUGUGCAGGGGAUGGGUCAAAGCUGUGAUGCUGGCAUGCAACUAACUCACCAUUGUGAGCCAAUCACAAAAGCAGAAACUUGGCCAAGCUGGAAUCUUUCUAGAAAGCUAAGACCUCUAGUACAGUGUUCAAUGGAACUGGUGAGAGAAGACGUCCUUGCUGUGUUCCUGAUAUGAAGAGGAAAGCAGUCCUUCUCCAUUAAAUGCUGACAACAUGAGCCUCCCGUGGUCGGAACGGGCUUGUGAAGGCAGUGCUGGGGUGCACCAGGGCAGCAGCUACAGGGUCAAGCCUGAGACACCUGAAGCCCUGGACUUGGAAUCUGAAGCUGUCAUCAGCCAGUACACCUAUGAACCUGUGGAAGACCUGAAGUACCUGUUUAAAAGACAGCCAAAAGAUAAGUAAAUACUUCCCAACUUUCCUUGGUGUCUUUGUUGCAUAGUUGCUGUAGGCUGGAUAAUAGUAGCCAUUGUUAUAUUUUUACAAUUAAUUUCUUUCCUCCAAACAGAUAGAAUCACUUCCUUUCUAAUAAUUAAGCAAAGUAAAAUGUUGUAAUCCAUUUUUGUAACAAUCAUUCCUGACAGGAUAGGUAUCCAUCACCACCCCUACCCCAAAGUUCCCAUUCUAUAGAACAAAAUAACAAAUAUGUAUUUUUUGUGUUCCAUAAUAGUCACCCAUAGCCUGUGUAUACUGGGACCAGGCAUAUGGGAAUCAACUUUAUUUUACAACAGCUUCUCUUUACCUCUCCAUCAGUUAAUGGAUUCUGGGUAUUUAUUAAGAACUUUACAUUUAAUGGAAAGACUGUUAAAUACCACCAGCCCCACUCUGGCAGAGGACUGUUGGCUUUGUGUAUCUCCAUCAUCAUCCCAAUACUUUGCCAUCUCAAUCCCAGCCCAAUCUUGGGCCUUUGAGAAAAUAACCUAUCAUUCCUAACUAUAAGGGUGGAACUCCCUUCAAAUUAAUGAGCCUGGAUGACUUAUAUGACUUCAAAAUUAUGUAAAUGACAAGGGUUAGAAUGACAGUAUGAGUAGUAAACCUCCUCCAGUCCCAUCAGAACAAACUUUCUGGGGUUACAUCCCAUUAGAAACCCAUUUGGGGGCCAAUAUCAACGUACACAGAACUAAAAUUCCAGGUGCCACUUUGUAUUAAGAGAAGCCACAAUUUUUGUCAGGCCCUGGAAACCUUGAAAAGUCAUCGAUACAACUGCACCCUGGAAAUUAAUCCCUCACAUAAUCAUGUAAGCUAUGCAGUUACCCAAUCAGCAUUAUUUAGAAAACCUGUAUGGUUUUCAUGGAAAUCAUUCUGAGUUAAGGACACUUUAAAGGAUAUACAGUCUAAGUACUGUCAAGGUAGGCCCACUAGCUGUGUUCACAUUUUCCAUUGGGAAGACUGUACUGAUCCUCAGAUAUCUGGUUGCCUUUUGAUUUCCCAGUAUGAAAAUAGCUUUGGGUGAUUGUUGGAGGACACUAAGUGUAACUAACUCCAUUCGGAAAACAGAACUGCUGGGGCAACUCAGGAUACUUCCCAAGGUCCUUUCCAGCCUUUAACUGGGGCCAUCUUAGCAGGGACCUUAACUACUUGGAAAAACAAAAAUGGCAAGCUAACCCACAUGUUCAUCAUAGAAAACAAUUUUUGUCUUGAAUAACAAGGAGCUUUUUUUCCUGCGUGGAACUGGUUCCUACUUAUGUUUACCAGCCAACUGGACUGGAACCUGUACACUUGUUUAUUUAGCCCUGGCAAUUAAUAUAGCUCCCAAUAACCAAUUCCUCAUUUUACCUUUGACUGCAACUGCCAGGCACAAAUUAACCAGUCAACUCAUACCCUUUUGGUAGGGCUAGGCGUAACAGCUGGAAUAGGAACAGAGGUUAGCGGGCUUGCAACUUCCCUAUCCUAUUAUCAAUGCUUGUCCAAGGAUUUUAUGAAAAGCUUGGAUGGCAUUGCCUAAAGUAUCGUCACCUUACAAAAUCAGAUAGACUUUUUGGCAGCAGUCACUUUAUAAAAUAGGAGGGGACUGGAUCUCCUAAUGCUAAAAAAGGUGGCUUAUGUCUUUUUCCUAGAAGAAGAAUGCUGCUUUUAUGUCAACCAAUCAGGAUGUGUAAGGAAUGCUACCCGGAAAAAUUAGCUGACUGGGCCUCUGAUAUAUGACAACAGCUGUCCAAGUCAUGGGACUCCUGAUCAAAAAUGCUAAGUUGGGGUUCAUGACUCCUUCCUCUAGCUGGCCCUUCAUUAAUGAUGAUACUUCCCUUGGUUUUUGGACGUUGUUUGUUAAAUCUCUUAACCAAAUUCAUUUCCUCUUGCCUGGAGACCAUCAAGCUGCAGAUAAUGAUGCAGCAAGGCUUCCAGGUAAAGACACCACCCCUGGACAUCAGGAAGCUAGCCUCUCUCCACUAGACAGACCAGGGCAGGAUUUCUGUGAUCCCCAAUAGGUAGGGACUGCACCCAAUUCAGGAUGAAGCAGUUACAGAAGAAAGACCGUCAGUCUCUCUGCCUGCCGUGAAGACUUUAUGGGGAUCACGUCUCUCAUGGGGGAGAAAUGAGGCAGGAAAAUAGGUACUGGGGGCAGGGAACCUAAGGCCAAUUCACACUGACUUCCUAGAACUAAAUCAAAAGGAAAAACCCAACUUUCCACAUAACAAAAGAAUAGAAGCUACUCCCUUUGCAAUCCCCACCCCCUUUCUGCAUGGCAGAUGAGAAAUGGAAAGUACCUGUGAUGGCUUCCCUCUCACAACCAAUCAGACUGGACACGGGCCUAGUUUUCAUUUGCAUAGGGGUGUAACUUUGUAACUUUACUUCAGCCUCUGAUUGGUCCCCUCCCACAACCAGUCAGAUGUUUGCAUAGGGUAUAACUUUCUAAGUUCACUUCAGCCUCCGAUUGGUCACCUUCUGAAACCAAUCAGACUGGUCACAGGCCACUCCUUCAUUUACAUAGAGUGUAAACCAAGUAACCAAUGGGACACCUCUGGAGGGUAUUUAAACCCCAGAAAAUUUUGUAACCUGUGAUCUUGAGCCACUUGGUCGAGACUGCUCCCACUUUGUGGAAUGUACUUUCAUUUCAAUAAAUCUGUGGUUUUGUUGCUUCAUUCUUUUAUUGCUUUGUUUGUGCAUUUUGUCCAAUACUUUGUUCAAAAUGCCAAUGACUUGGAAAACUCGUAGUCAAGACCCUCCACUGUUAAACGGGAGGAGGAUUAGAGGGAGGGAGAGGAAAGGAGGAGGAGGUUAAGGAGGAGGAGGAGGUAUGGACAGAGGGAGAGAAGGAGGAAGAAAGCUGAGAGAGAGUGAAGACGUGGAGGUGGAAGGAGGGAGGAAGGAGGAGAGAGAAGAAUAAAGGAAAGAGUGAAUGAGUCACUGUUUCUGGGUUGUGGGACUGGCUGUGGUUGUGGCUUGCCUGUCUCCCUGUCUCUGGCCCCUUAGGCCAACCACGGGAUUCCUGGCCCCAGGAUAUUUGCAGCACUGGUCCUUGGAACUUCUUACUGAAGUCCAUUCCAGAAGUUCUCCCUCUGACCCCACUCUCUGCUUCUGUGGCCCCCAGUCGGGUCCUGCUUCUGGCCUGGGAUUUCACAUUUAGAUCUUUUGUCCAGUGACUAAACCUCAGCAUGGCCCAGCAACUGGGGGCCUGGUAUCUCUCUAGGUGCAGUGCCCAUCGCAGCUGCUCCUGUUCUGGAGGAUUAGGCGGCCACUGAUCUGUCCCCACUGGGGCCAACUUUCGGGGUCUUUGCAGCAGCACUGUGCUCUCAGGUUUCUGGAAGAGGGUAUUUCGGCAGACAUAACAGAAUCGGCCAGCAGUACCUACCCAUGUUUUCCAUCCAAUAAGCCAUCACCUUCCAAUUACCAUAAUGCCUGUAAGUGUAACAAAAGGCUCAUUCUGGUGACAAACGUGGCCCUGCACUCUAUGUCCAUUGAAGGAUAAAAAGGUGUUUCAAAUUCUAGUUAUGAAUUCUGUCAAUAAUUCUAAUAAAAACUUGCAAUAAUUAAAUUAGAAGCAGAAUAUAGCUUUUUUUAACAUAAAAGGAGAAACAAUUUGCUGAGAUAAGUCAAUUAAAAAAAAUGUAACUGCUUGUCCUAUGUAUUUAUGAAGUAGAAACUCAUUUUCCCAUCCAAUUUUAGCUUCUUAUUUCAUGUUGGGUAAUAGGUAUUUCUGAUAAGAACAACACCCUCUGAUGGAAAUGUGAGUAUUGUCUUAUCCUCAAGUUCUCUUCAGACCCAGAUCAAAGAUUUAAAAAGGUCAUUAAGGUUUGAAUAUUUCACUCAACUGACUCAGGCUAAUUACAGAUGGAGUGGUGGUUUGACAGCUAACUCCAUGGUUCCCCACCUUUCUGUGUCCUUCUUUUUAUUUUUUAUUAUUCUUACCUAAAUGCUGCCUACCCUUUACAAAUAAUUUGAAGAUCUCCUCCUCCAGGAAGCCUCCAGGGAUUGCCUCUGGAUGGAUGGAGCUUUGCAGCUGGUCACCACUUGCCCUUCAACCUCCUGUCGACAGGGUUGUCCUCAGGAUGGGUCAGGAGGAAAACAUUCUCCAUGUCUGUCACCCACCUUCUGUCACCCACCCCCUGUUAUUAGGCUGUUCUUACAUUGUUGUAAAGAAAUACUGGAGACUGGGUAAUUAUAAAGAAAAAAAGUUUAAUCAGCUCAUGGUUCUGCAGGCUUUACAGGAAGCAUGGUGCUGGCAUUUGCUUGGCUUCUAGGGAGGCCUAAGGAAGCUGAUGAUCAUCUCGGAAGGUGAAGGGGGAGUAAGCACUUCACAUCAUGAAUGCAGGAGCGAGACAGAGAGAGAGAGAGUUGGCGGGGAGGUGCCACACACUUCUACAUGAUGAGGUCUCGCAAGAACUCAGUCACUAUCAUGAAUAUAGCACUAAGCCACAAGGGAUUUGUCUCCACGAUCCAAACACCUCCCACCAGGCCCCACCUCCAGUAUUGGGUAUUCCAAUUCAACAUGAGAGUUCAGCAGGGAUAAAUAUCCAAAUGACAUCAUUUCUCCCCUGGCCCCUCCCAAAUCUCAUGUCCUUCUCACAUGGCAAAUACAGUCAUGCCUUCCCAAUAGUCUCCCAAAGUGUUAACUUGUUCCAGCAUUAACUGAAAAGUCCAAAGCCCAAAAUCUUAUCUGAGACAAGGCAAGGCCCUUCCACCUAUGAGCUGGUAAAAUCAAAACCAAGUAAUUUAUUUCCAGGAUACCAUGUGGGUACAGACAUUGAGUAAACAUUGCCAUUAUAAAAGGAAGAAAUCAACCAAAAGGAAGGUGCUACAGGUGCCACACAAGUCUGAAACCCAGCAGGGCAGUUACUAAAUCUUAGAGCUCCAAAAUAAUCUCUCUUUUUUGACUCCAUAUUCUGCAUUCAGAGCACACUGGUGCAGGGGAUAGGUUCCCAUAGUCUUGGGCAGCUCCACUUCUGUGGUCUUUUCAUGGAUCAGCCCUGACUACUGCUCUCACAGGUUGAGUGCUUAUGAUUUUUCCAGGUGCAUGCUGCAAGUGGCUGGUGGAUCUACCAUUCUGGGGUCUGGAGGGUGGUGGCCCCCUUCCCAUAGUUACACUAGGCAGUACCCCAGUGGGGACUCUGUGUGGGGGCUCCAACCCCACAUUUUCCCACCACACUGCCCUAGUAGAGGUUACUGUGAGGGCUCUGCCCCUGAAGCAGGCUUCUGCCUGGGCACCCAGGUUUUCUCAUACAUCCUCUGAAAUCUAGGCAGGGGCUGUCAAGCCUUCACUCUUGCACUCUGUGUGCCCACAGGCUUAACACCACGUGAAAGCCACCAAAGCUUACAGCUUGCGCUCUCCCAAGUAGCAGCCCAAGCUGUAUCUGGGGCCGUUUGAGUCAUGACUGAUGCCAUGACUGGAGCCACAGCAGCUGGAAUUCAGGGAGCACUGUCCUGAGGCUGUGCAGGGUAGGGGGGGCACUGGCUGGCCUGUGAAAUCAUUCUUUUUUCUUAGGCCUCUGGGCCUGUCGUGGUGGGGGUGCUGCCUGGAAGUUUUCUGAAAUAUCUUUGAGGACUUUUCCCCGUUAUGUUGGCUAUUAACACUUUGCUCCCUUUUAGUUAAGAGUAAAUUUCUCGGCCGGGUGCGGUGGCUCACGCCUGUAAUCCCAGCACUUUGGGAGGCCGAGGCAGGCGGAUCACGAGGUCAGGAGAUCGAGACCAUCCUGGCUAACACGGUGAAACCCCGUCUCUACU